GGGGCGUCCAGGAGCUGGAGGCGGGGAACGGACGAGCGGGGAGGAGAAGGCGGGGACGCACCUGUGCAGAGGGAGGGAGCGGUGCGGCGGUGGCGAAGAGCUGGUGGCCGGUAACGGACUAGCCGGGAGGAGAAGGCGGGGACGCACCUCUGCAGAGGGAGGGAGCGGCGCAGGGCGGCGAGGAGCAGCUGGAGGCCAAGAACGGAGGAGCGAGGAGGAGAAGGCAGGGACGCACUUGCGCAGUGGGAGGGAGCGGCGCUGAGAGGUGGCGGCGGGGAGCUAGAACUCUGCUCCUGGCUGCUAGUGCUGGGAAAGUGCGUCUACCCUUAAGAGGGCUAUCUCACCCCUCUAAGUCUUAAAAAGUAACUCAUCCUACCGAGCUAGCAGGGGUUUAGUGAAGAUUAGAGGCGUUUACCAUGUGUAUCUGGUGCAUAAAUUAUUCAGUACCUCUCUCAAGAUUCUCUUCCCCGGUGUACCCCUGGCGCUUUUCUUGAGAAACCAGCUGGAGAGUUUCUGCCCAGUCAGCUGAGCUGAGAGACUGCUGUCUGAGGUACUCACUCAUGCUGCCUGGAGCCAGGCUUUUGUCCUGGUCCUUCGACCAAAUUUUAGACGCAAGCCAAGAGAAGGGAUGCUGUGUUUGGAUUUCAUCUCUGUACCCGCUAUCUGUGACCAGCAUGGUUAUUCUCGAAUGAGAAAAGCAGCAAGCUAGCAAUUCGUUAUUAAUACUAAAAACCGUUCAUGUGUAAAAAACUGUCCGUAUACCAAACUUGAAGAAAGCACGUUCUCAUCUCCUGCAACCUCCCAUAUACACUUCACGCAACUUCCCCCAAUGUUAACAUUUUACAGAGCCAUGGUACUGUUAUCAAAACUGAGGAAGCAACUCGGGCGCAAUUGUAUUAACGAAAUUACAGAGUUUGUUCAGAUUCCGUCAGUUUUUCCACGAAUGCCCUUUUACUGAUCCAGGAUUCUGUCCAGAUACCACGAUACAUUUAAUCAUCAUGUCUGCUCCAACCUGUAAGUUUUUUGGUCUUUCCUUGUCUUUCAUGGCAUUCACAUGAUUGAAGAAUAGUGGUCAGGUAUUGUGAAAAGUGCCUCUGAAUUGACGUUUGUCUAAUGUUUUCUCCUUAUUGGACUGAGGUAUAUAUUUUUAGGAAGAAUACCCUUGGAAGGAUGUGCCCUACCUGUGUAUCAGGUGACACGUGAUAUCAACGUGAUUCGUCAUACUAACCUUUAGUACUUGGUUAAGGUGGUAUCAGCGGGGUUUCUGCACUAUAUAUUUAGGAUUUUUCCAUAUCUAGUCUACACUUAAGAGUGGAUUGGCUAAGGCCAGUGCACACCCAGGAACAGAGGAAAUUCGCUUAGCUCCUUUUCGAAUUUAUGGUCAUAUUUUAAAACCACCAGGUGUAUUAGUAAAUUUGAGGAGAAACUCUCUGAGGCUACCCAAGUAUCCUGUUUAUAUUUAUAGUUUUGGCCACUAAUUUUCACUUUCAUUGUUGGGUCUUGCCUGCAAACGCUUUUACUGUGGUGUUCUAAAAGGAGAUUUUUCUGUUUUACUUAUAUGUUUCUUGGGAUCUUCUGUAAAGGAAAGAUUUUCAUUUUCCUCAUUUAUUUCAUCAUUUGUUUAUGUCAGUAUGGGCUCAUGGAUAAUCUAAUUCAUUCCCUGUGGUCAUUACUCAACCCUGCCUUUUUCACCCAACCCUUUGAUCUGUUUUAUGUUUUACAAUGUCAACUGCAUUUUAUAAUAUGUAUCUCCUGAGUUUGGCUUUUUUCACUUAGCAAAAUUCAUUGAAGACUCAUUUGUGUUAAAAAAAAAAAAAAAGAUACAUUCAUGUUCUUGGUCCUUUUCUCAGAUCACCUCCUUUCUCUCCACUCUUUUCAUUUCACCCAUGCUAUUAUUAUGUUUCUCAAAUUGUCCCAGCUUGGGCAUUGAGAGCUAUCAUAGGUUAGCUUUUAGGUCCUUUUAACAAAUCCUUAUCAUAGUUUCUAAAGGACUUCCUUACUUUUGACACACAAGAUGCUCCAGGCUCCUUGUAUUUUCUGUGUCUAAGCCCUGGAAUCAGACAUCUUUCCAAGGAGCCCUAGUUCCUUCUAUUGGAGAAACCAAGAUCUGAGCUCUAGGUAUGCUGAUUGGUACUGGGUGAAACUUUUUAGAUGCUGUCUGCCUACAUAUCUAAGAAAUAGAUGUAUGUGUACCAGUCCAUGCUAAUCAUCUGCCUCACAGUAUCCAUAUUUCUGUAUUGAUCUGUAUACAUAUAAAUCUGUAUACAGAUGUGUUACAUACACAUGACUACAUAUUUGAAAAUGAAUGAGCUAACAUUGAUAUCUUUCCCAUCCACCCACCCCUUCCUUAUUUUUAACUUCAUCCAUACACUGAAAUACCUGGUUAUCAUUAUCUAUGACAUGUGUAUUCUUUUUGACCUUGUGUACAUGGAAAGUAGUUUCAGAAUUGCUAACCCCUGUGAGAAUUUACCAGCCAGAGUGUUUAUGUACAGUUCUUUUUGUUUUCAGUCUUAAUGUAUCCAGUCAAAAUGUAGUUCUACGGAAUUAUUUAGGUCAGCUCAUUUCCCCCCAUUUUUUAAAGCCUCUGCAUUUGGCUUGGUCAUGAUCCCAGUGUCCUGGGAUCAAGCCCCACAUUGGGCUUUCUGCUCCACGGGGAGCCUGCUUCCUCCUCCCUCUCUCUGCCUGCCUCCCUCUCUGCUUACUUGUGAUCUCUGUCAAAUAAAUAAAUAAAAUCUUUAAAAGUAAAUAUAAAUAAAAAUUUUAAAAAAAUAUUUUUCCUAUGGUAGUGUGAGACAUUAAUUCAUUCCUUUUUUAAAAUUACUGAAUAGUGGGGCGCCUGGGUGGCUCAGUGGGUUAAGCAGCUGCCUUCAGCUCAGGUCAUGAUCUCAGGGCCUGGGAUCCAGUCCCACAUUGGGCUUUCUGCUCAGCAGGGGGCCAGCUUCCCUUCCUCUCUCUCUGCCUGCUGUGAUCUCUCUCUGUCAAAUAAAUAAAUAAAAUCUUUAAAAAUAUAUAAAAAUAAAAUAAAAUUACUGAAUAGUAUUCCACUUAUAGAUGUCCCACAGUUUAUUCACCUAUUAAAGGAUAUUUGAGUUUUUACCUGUUCUGGUGAUUAUUAAUAGGUACUAAACGUUUGUGUUGGGCGCCAGGGUGGCUCAGUCAGUUAAGUGUUUACUUUCGGCUCAGGUCAUGAUCCCAGUGUCCUGGAAUGGAGUCCUACGUGGAGCCUGCUCCUCCCUCUAAUUUUGCUCGGACUUCUGUUUGCCCGGAGCCCUGUUUGCGCUCGCUCACUCACUCUCUCUCAAAUAAGUAAAUAAAUCUUUAAAAAAAAGAAAACAAAAAAACAAUUUGUGUUAAGGCUUUUGUGUUGACUUAGUUUUCGAUUUACUUAGGUAAAUACAUAGGAGUAGGAUCACUAGGUUGCGUGUUAAGUACAUGUUUACAUUUAUAAGAAAUUGUAAAACAGUUUUCCAAAAUGUUUGUAUUAUUUUGCAUUCACACCAGUAAUGAAUAAGAAGGGUUUGUUUGUUUGUUUAGAUUAUUUGAGAGCGAGAACGUGUACAUCAGCCCGAGUAGUGGGGAGGCAGAGGGAGAAGCAGACUCCCUGCUAACCAGGGAGCCUGACAUGCGGUUCGAUCCCAGGACUCUGAGAUCCCUACCUGAGCCAAAGGCAGGUGUUUGACCAAUUGAGCCACCCAGGUGUCCCGAUGAACGAGAGUUCUUGUUUCUCGAAUCCACAGUGGUAUUUUGUAUUUCUAGUAUGUAAGCGAGCCUUUCUACCUAGAUUUUACAUUUUUGCCUCCUUUGGUCGCUUGGCGUUCAGAAAGCAAAGUGUCUGUGAGACUAUUUCUUUGAGGCACUGAAAAAAACCGGUGCUGCAUACAGAAGCAACAACCCCCCUGCCACUGUCUCCGAAUUGCUGAAGAGAGAACGUUUCCGAAAUUCUCCAGUCCCGGGCAAGCACAGUUACGGGAAUGAAGUCCGGAAGUUUGUGAGCCCGCAGCCCGCGGUUAUGGGAGUUAGUAGCCUGCGGCUCUUUCUGCGCAUGCACAAUACCUAGCAGGUGCUUCCCAAUGUUCCGGCUUUCUGUGGGAGACGAUCCGGGACCUCCAGGCUUCUGGCGGUCUGCUUGCCGUUCUCGGAGCUGGUGCAGCCGGAGCGGGAUGGUGGCGAGGCGAGAAGGAUGGGGAGAUCCGAGGGGGUCUCUGGGUGGCGCCAAGACGCUGUUGUGGGCGACGGUGCCCGGCUGUAGGGAAGAGGCCUGCGGACCCCGGCGGGACCCUUGGCUGUUCUUCCGGAGAGCUGGGUACGAGGAGGCCUCGGUCGGAUGGAGGGAUCACGAGACGGGAGACUCUUUACUACGGGAAAGAUUCUCAAGGUAGGAGAGUUCUUUAUGGCAUGUAGGCACAUGAUGGGAUGCCGGUAACUUAUCACACUGGUGAGGAAUGUCUGUCAUGCUUUCUCCUUCAACCAAGUACAAAGGCAUCCUUAUCAUUUGUGGAUAUGACUGUGGGCUUUACCCAGGAGGAGUGGCAGCACCUGGACCCUGCUCAGAGGACCCUGUAACAGGGAGGUGAUGCUGGAGAACUAUAGCCACCUUGUCUCAGUGGGUAAGAUCUGAAGGAGUCAAUCUGUUUCUUCGGUGGCUUCAAGCACUUCAGACAAACUUUGCAGAAGAGCAGGUGCUGAUUUUUGCUUGCCUCAUGCCUGGUUUCCCAGCGAUCAUGUCAUCCAGAGGGACCUGCAUGGUGGAGACACUCAUCAGUCCUAGCCCUGGUGUGGCAGAUGACAUCCCCCAUUUGAGACCAGCCCCAGUGUAUGUACAUUACUACAACUCAAGACAAUGAAAACAUUUAUAGUAUAAAAAUUCCAUACAUGGCAGUUCACAUUGUUUUUAUUAAAUGGAUUAUAAAUUUCUUUUUGGAAAAAAAGUAUCUAGCUAUAAUCCAAAACACUCAAAAUCGAGUUGCUGUACUGCCCCAAAUCAUACAGGAAUGAAAAGGACUCGUCAUUCCCCGGCAAAUCUGAAGAAAGCAGUGAGAGCAAGAGUAAGGGAGAAAGAGAGUGAGAGGAGCAUCUGAUGGGAUAGGAUUUCUUACAAAAGGAGUCUUGAAAUGACCAGAGAAAACAGACCAACAGAAAAGGGCAGACUUUGACCAAGCGGUGCUCAACGACGUGAAUAUCCACAUGGAACAUAAGAGGUUUUAACGCUAUUCCCUACUGAUGGAGCCUACAUACUAAAGAGGACAUCAGAAGUUUUCUGGAAGAUAGAAUAGAAAACCAUUUUGAGGAACUGGGGGAGGUGGCAGAGAUGAGUGGAACAGAAUACCAAAAACAGGAAGCCCAAGGAAGCUUGGGUGCCGCUUCCAGUCGGCGACGAGAGAAGAAUUAGGCACGAACCAGUCAUCUGCAAAAGACGGGGAGCAGGGGACGACAGUCCACAAGGACAGCUGCCAGGAACACUCCACAGUCUCACUUUUAUUGGAUAGAAAACAAUAGCCAAUAGAAGGAUUGAGGAAGGUCAAAUGUUAAUCCCGUCUUGCUGAGAAGCAAGAAGGAGGAUAAAGUUUAUAGUUAAACAAGCACAUUGAAAGAACUCUUCUAACUAACAACGGGCACUUCUGGGAAGAGAAAGGCUGGAUAACGGAUAAGGGAGGCAGGCGGUUUUCAUUCCACCCUGAGUUGACCUGGCGUUCCCGGGUGCUCCGCUUUCCUGAAGCAGGCGGCAUUCCGCCCUGGGCCGGCCGGGCUUCCAGCCAGCGCAGCUUCUGUGAAGGGGGUGGCGUUCCGCCCUGAGCGAGCUGGGCAUCCCCAGAUACCCAGCUUCACAGUCAUAUAUCCUCCUUUUCCCCAAAGACCUGUUGCCAGUGUAUGUAUUUCUAGAGGUCAUAUGUAAAUGUGCUUGGUAACUAGUAAAAUCCUCCAGGGGUUACAGUUUAAGUAACAAAUUGUUCUGAGGGGCAGCAGCAGUUGGGAAGUUGGACUCUACUCAUUCCAAGGUUCCAAACAAAAAAUCUUGCCCAACAAAUGACAAGACUAAAAGUAUGAAAGGCUCUAUGGAGAUACCAGAUAAGGAACUGUAUACAACUCUAGAUAGGAGAACCUAGGAAACAAGAAGGAUAGAUAGGUAACUUCAAAACAAUGAAAAUCCUAGAGCAGAAAUAUCCCAAGGAGAAAACCAUCGGCCAAGAAACAUGAAAAGAUUCCUGAAAUCCUCAGUGAUCACAGAACAACAAAGGAAAACACAAUGUGUUAGUGUUAACCCAAGGAGGGAGACCCCAAAGAGUGUUGCUUAAUCCAAUGGAUUGAAUCAUGAAAAACGGAUUUAAUCAUGGAGUGGGGCACCUGGGUGGCUGCUUUCUGCUGGGAUCCUGAUGCCAGGGUCUUGGGCUCCAGACCUUCCUGGGGCUCUGUGCUCAGCAGGAAGCCUGCUUCUCCCUCUCCCACUUCCAUGGCUUCUACUCCUCAAAUUGGGCUCCCUCUCUCACUGUCUCUGUCUUUCUGUCCAGUUCAUCAAUCAAUCAAACAAUUCCUUCAGUUCAAGAAGUAAAAAUCAAAUGUUGAUGCAUGGGGCCCUAAAGAACGACAAGAAUAUGGAGGGUUGUUUGAUGAUUUUUUUAAGAUUUUCUUUCUUCCUUUGACAGAGAGGAGAAGGAGGGAGAGAGACAGGCAGAGAGAGAGGUGUAAACGGGCUUCCUGCUAAGGAAAGAGCCAGAUGCAGGGCAUGGUGUGCAGGCUGCUGCCUCGACAAGUCCACCGUGAAGCCCUGCAGCAGCUCCAGCAGUCCCAAGCGGAUCUCAGGAGCGCGCUCAGAGGGCGCUGGAGGCGUUCAAGGAGGCUUGCCCCAAGGCUCCCUGGGCUCAGCUGCUCCCUGCUGCUCCCUGCCAUGGUAGCACCCAGGGCGGCGGGGGCAAAGGCGGCAUCCGCGGAGGGAGCCCGGACCUGGGAGGGCGGGCAGCACCUCGGGCACCUCCCGCUCGCCCUGGGGCCUGUCACUUCUCUCCCCACCCCUCCCACUCUCAACCAUUGUUCCCUUCUGUGAAGGGUUUUCAUACUU